UACAGAGGGGGCAAGCGUUAUUCGGAAUUAUUGGGCGUAAAGGGCGCGUAGGCGGCUUGGCAAGUGGAUGGUGAAAUCCCUCGGCUUAACCGAGGAACUGCCGUCCAAACUGCUUCGCUUGAGACCGGGAGAGGUGAGUGGAAUUCCCAGUGUAGCGGUGAAAUGCGUAGAUAUUGGGAGGAACACCAGUGGCGAAGGCGGCUCACUGGACCGGUACUGACGCUGAUGCGCGAAAGCGUGGGGGGCAAACGGG
rnacentral:rRNA from 1 species